GACGAACGCUGGCGGCGUGCUUAACACAUGCAAGUCGAACGGAAAGGCCCUGCUUUUGUGGGGUGCUCGAGUGGCGAACGGGUGAGUAACACGUGAGUAACCUGCCCUUGACUUUGGGAUAACUUCAGGAAACUGGGGCUACUCUCGGAUAGGAGCUCAUGCUGCAUGGUGGGGGUUGGAAAGUUUCGGCGGUUGGGGUUGGACUCGCGGAUUAUCAGCUUGUUGGUGGGGUAGUGGCUUACCAAGGAUUUGACGGGUAGCCGGCCUGAGAGGGUGACCGGCGACAUUGGGACUGAGAGACGGCCCAGACGGCUACGUGAGGCAGCAGUGGGAAACAUUGCACAGUGGGCGGAAGCCUGAUGCAGCAACGCUGCGUGCGGGAAGACGGCCUUCGGGUUAUAAACCGCUUUCGCCUGUGACGAAGCGUGAGUGACGGUAAUGGGUAAAGAAGCACCGGCUAACUACGUG
rnacentral:rRNA from 1 species